rnacentral:tRNA from 1 species
GGUUCUGUAGUGUAGUGGUUAUCACGUCUGCUUUACACGCAGAAGGUCCUGGGUUCAAUCCCCAGUGGAACCA